GCAAAACGCGAAGAACCUUACCCACCUUUGACAUGUACGGAAUCCUUUAGAGAUAGAGGAGUGCUCGAAAGAGAGCCGUAACACAGGUGUUGCAUGGCUGUCGUCAGCUCGUGUCGUGAGAUGUUGGGUUAAGUCCCGCAACGAGCGCAACCCUUGCCAUUAGUUGCUACAUUUAGUUGAGCACUCUAAUGGGACUGCCGGUGACAAACCGGAGGAAGGUGGGGAUGACGUCAAGUCCUCAUGGCCCUUAUAGGUGGGGCUACACACGUCAUACAAUGGCUGGUACAAAGGGUUGCCAACCCGCGAGGGGGAGCUAAUCCCAUAAAGCCAGUCGUAGUCCGGAUCGCAGUCUGCAACUCGACUGCGUGAAGUCGGAAUCGCUAGUAAUCGUGGAUCAGAAUGUCACGGUGAAUACGUUCCCGGGUCUUGUACACACCG
rnacentral:rRNA from 1 species